rnacentral:rRNA from 1 species
AUGAACGCUGGCGGCGUGCCUAAUCCCUGCAAGUCGAGCGAACAGACGAGGAGCUUGCUCCUCUGACGUUAGCGGCGGACGGGUGAGUAACACGUGGAUAACCUACCUAUAAGACUGGGAUAACUUCGGGAAACCGGAGCUAAUACCGGAUAAUAUAUUGAACCGCAUGGUUCAAUAGUGAAAGACGGUUUUGCUGUCACUUAUAGAUGGAUCCGCGCCGCAUUAGCUAGUUGGUAAGGUAACGGCUUACCAAGGCGACGAUGCGUAGCCGACCUGAGAGGGUGAUCGGCCACACUGGAACUGAGACACGGUCCAGACUCCUACGGGAGGCAGCAGUAGGGAAUCUUCCGCAAUGGGCGAAAGCUUGACGGAGCAACGCCGCGUGAGUGAUGAAGGUCUUCGGAUCGUAAAGCUCUGUUAUUAGGGAAGAACAAAUGUGUAAGUAACUAUGCACGUCUUGACGGUACCUAAUCAGAAAGCCACGGCUAACUACGUG